rnacentral:lncRNA from 1 species
GAGUGUCGGGUGCCUCUGUCUUCUAGGACGCGCAUACACACAGGCGCCCUGCUGCGGGCUGGGUUAGGGAUCCAACCUGACCUCGUAGGCUAGUGACCAUCACGCAGAACCUGCCUCAGCAAAGGCCACAACCACUUGCAGGCUGCCAGGGAGGGAGAGUCCUCCAGGAGAUGUUGCCUUGGCUGGUCCUCAGGUACGAGGGUGUGUGGUCCUGGGCCAGAGCCAAACCUGCUGGUCCAGACAGACUUCACAGGUUCCCAAGGGCCAAGAACAGGAUCCUUCAAUCCAGAGCCACUGGGGCCUCAAGGACAUCGGAACUUUUUGCCCAACCAGGUCAUUUAUUUCUGCACAACUCUUUGGGGAUGACCCACCCGCAUCACCGUGGUGGUCCACAAUUGCAAAACCUCCACGAGAGCAAAGCAAGGGAGAGCCAGCCAGGGUGCUGCCUCGAUUUCCUGGGUUGGGACUAACUCUCUGCAGAUGAGUUUAAACCCCAUCUCCUGGGCAUUUCUUCAGUGGUCCCAUGAGCCCGACUUGCUGUGGCUGAGCUACAGGUCCUGCUUUUGUUUGGGUAGUUCUGUGGAUCAGAUUAGUUCAAAGAUGGGGCUUAACCUCAUUAAAAGGAUAAAAUAUUCAGAUGACUAUGAUGUGUCCUGUGCUUUAACUUUUGCAAUUAUUUGAAUGAAACUACAGUUGAAACUGGGACAAAGAAUGUCCUUAAGUAACGCGGUCUUUCUCAGGUCUUGCUUUCGAAUGAAAGGCUGCUGUGUGGACCCUCAGUACAUAGGUCACAGGCUGUGGAUACAUCAAGUGAGGCGGGAGUGUUUCUAAACUCGAGGCGGAAUUUUAUUGAUUAUCGAUCAGAAGCAAGACCUUCUCUUCCCACUCUACCCACCUGUUCUGGAGCAGAGAGCACCUCGCCACCUUCCCAGGGUGUCGUUCCAUCAGAAAAACGAUAGUGCCUACCAUGAGGAAGAGUCCAUUAUCGGACUGGGAAUUUUUCUAUUAAAA